AACUUUUAACAAUGGAUCUCUUGGCUCUCAUAUCGAUGAAGAACACAGUGAAAUGUGAUAAGUAAUGUGAAUUGCAGAAUUCAGUGAAUCAUUGAAUCUUUGAACGCACCUUGCACCUUUUGGUAUUCCAAAAGGUACACCUGUUUGAGUGUCAUG
rnacentral:rRNA from 7 species